rnacentral:rRNA from 1 species
GAUCAUGGCUCAGGAUGAACGCUGGCGGCGUGCCUAAUACAUGCAAGUAGAACGCUGAAGGAAGGAGCUUGCUCUUUCCGGAUGAGUUGCGAACGGGUGAGUAACGCGUAGGUAACCUGCCUGGUAGCGGGGGAUAACUAUUGGAAACGAUAGCUAAUACCGCAUAACAGUCGACAUUGCAUGAUGUUGAUUUGAAAGGGGUAAUUGCUCCACUACCAGAUGGACCUGCGUUGUA